UCAGACAAGAUGACCAUUGUUUAAACACUAUUUUCCAAAGCAGCAUCACACAGAACACAAAAUAUGAAACAAUAUUUAACCCCCAAAAUGCUUACAGAAAGAGACAUCAAAGGACAGAUCAAAAUUAAGAAAACUGUGUUAUAAGUGCGACUAUGGACCCUGUUCUAAGAAGAAUGAAGCAUUAAUGCAAUAUUUUUAGCACUAUAAAUUACAAAUUUGGUUACGUCUACAACAUGGCCACUGUUAUUUUGUCUUUAAAUAUCUGUAUUUCCAAGCCCAAAUCUAUGCAUUUUACUCUCUAGGCUCAUGUUUUGCUAUUAAUCAGGUGUUAGAAAUGAUCUUCAUCCCUUCAGAAGAUGUCAAAACAGCCCUGCAAAUGAAACGGAUGACCAUUACAUGGCUAAUCUAAACUGUGAGUCUCUGUGUCGCCUUUCAACAGGUAGACAACCUCUCUGCCUCUCGCCCAAGGACCCCUGAAUAUUCCUACACCCUCAUAACCCUGCAUGCAUAAAUGGCACAUAUAUUAACAAUGAACAGGUACCUGUCCUUGAGCCAGACCAUCAAAACCAUCCUGGACAGCAAACAUGGAGUGGCCCUCGAUGAUGCCCAUCCUCACCACUGCUCGGACCGCAGCGUUCAUCCCGGAGCAGGGAGCUCCCACAUUCAUAACGGCCACGUUGAUGUUGCUCUGCCAUGAAGAGAACGAGCCCAAGUGUUUUGUCACAUUAUAAACAAAAAAUAUACAUAAUUCAUUUUGAUUAUAUUAAUCAAAAAGUAGCAUUUGGAGUCUAGUACGAAAUGAAGUAAAAAGGAGGCGCACCUUCACAUCUGGAGGAUUUAUGUGCGCCAGCAGCUUG